rnacentral:tRNA from 5 species
GGGCCCGUAGCUUAGCAUGGUUGGAGCGCACGGCUGAUAACCGUGAGGUCACGCGUUCGAAUCGCGUCGGGCCCACCA